rnacentral:rRNA from 1 species
UACGUAGGGGGCGAGCGUUGUCCGGAAUUAUUGGGCGUAAAGGGUUCGCAGGCGGUUUUUUAAGUCAGAUGUGAAAGGCUACGGCUCAACCGUGGUAAGCAUUUGAAACUGAAAGACUUGAGUUAAGGAGAGGAAAGUGGAAUUCCUAGUGUAGCGGUGAAAUGCGUAGAUAUUAGGAGGAAUACCAGUGGCGAAGGCGACUUUCUGGACUUAUACUGACGCUGAGGAACGAAAGCGUGGGGAGCAAACAGG